rfam:Thioalkalivibrio nitratireducens DSM 14787, complete genome.
GAAGUCCCCGUCGGGUAAGGGUUAGCCACCCACCCGUAUCGAGUCUUGGACCUGUGGCGGAGUAAAGGAGGACGAACAAGGCAGGUUAAGCGUAGACAGAGAAUCCUGUAGGCCACAGGGGUGAUCGCGCACCCUGAAGUGCUGGUACAGCUUCGACAAGCUCAGUUCCGGGCGCCGAGGGUUUUAACGCACACCGAAGGCAACACAGAAGCACCCGUCAAGGCGAGGGUGUGGAGGUCCGGCGGAGUCCACAGGUCG